rnacentral:rRNA from 1 species
UACAGAGGUCUCAAGCGUUGUUCGGAUUCAUUGGGCGUAAAGGGUGCGUAGGCGGCGCGGUAAGUCGGGUGUGAAAUCUCGGAGCUUAACUCCGAAACUGCAUUCGAUACUGCCGUGCUUGAGGACUGGAGAGGAGACUGGAAUUUACGGUGUAGCAGUGAAAUGCGUAGAUAUCGUAAGGAAGACCGAGUGGCGAAGGCGGGUCUCUGGACAGUUCCUGACACUGAGACACGAAGGCCAGGGGAGCAAACGGG